GGGCCCUAGCUCAGUGGUGGAGAAUCUGCUUUGCCUGCGGAAGGCUCCAGGUCUAAUCCCUGGCAUCUCCA